UUCCGGUUGAUCCUGCCGGACCCCACUGCUAUCGGGAUAGGACUAAGACAUGCUAGUCGAGCGCGCCAGGCGCGGCACACAGCUCAGUAACACGUGGCUAACCUGCCCUCGGGACGAGAACACCCCCGGGAAACUGGGGCUAAUCCCCGAUAGGUGAAGAACUCUGGAAUGAGUCUCCGCCCAAAGCUCGUACGCCCAAGGAUGGGGCCGCGUCCGAUCAGGUUGUUGGUGAGGUAACGGCUCACCAAGCCUUUUACCGGUGCGGGCCGUGGGAGCGGGAGCCCGGAGAUGGGCACUGAGACAAGGGCCCAGGCCCUACGGGGCGCAGCAGUCGCGAAAACUUUGCAAUACACGAAAGUGUGACAGGGCUAUCCCGAGUGCCAUCCGCUGAGGAAGGCUUUUACCCAGUGUAGAAAGCUGGGGGAAUAAGGAGAGGGCAAGACUGGUGUCAGCCGCCGCGGUAAUACCAGCUCUCCGAGUGGUGUGGAUGUUUAUUGGGCCUAAAGCAUCCGUAGCUGGCUGGACAAGUCCCCUGUUAAAUCCACCGAUUUAAUCGUUGGUGUGCGGGGGAUACUGUUUGGCUAGGAGGCGGGAGAGGCCGACGGUAUUCUCGGGGUAGGGGUGAAAUCCUAUAAUCCCGGGAGGACCACCAGUGGCGAAGGCUGUCGGCUAGAACGCGCUCGACGGUGAGGGACGAAAGCUGGGGGAGCGAACCGGAUUAGAUACCCGGGUAGUCCUGGCCGUAAACGCUGUGGGCUAGGUGUUGCAUGCUCUACGGGGGCAUGCAGUGCCGAAGAGAAGUUGAUAAGCCUACCGCCUGGGAAGUAUUACUGCAAGGUAGAAACUUAAAGGAAUUGGCGGGGGAGCACCACAAGGGGUGGAGUCUGCGGUUCAAUUGGAUUCAACGCCGGA
rnacentral:rRNA from 1 species